rnacentral:rRNA from 1 species
GAUGAACGCUAGCGGGAGGCCUAACACAUGCAAGCCGAGCGGUAGGGUCUCUUCGGGGACUUGAGAGCGGCGUACGGGUGCGUAACACGUGUGCAACCUGCCUCUAUCUGGGGGAUAGCCUUCCGAAAGGAAGAUUAAUACCCCAUAAUAUAAUGAUUGGCAUCAAUUAUUAUUGAAAACUCCGGUGGAUAGAGAUGGGCACGCGCAAGAUUAGAUAGUUGGUGGGGUAACGGCCCACCAAGUCGAUGAUCUUUAGGGGUCCUGAGAGGGAGAUCCCCCACACUGGUACUGAGACACGGACCAGACUCCUACGGGAGGCAGCAGUGAGGAAUAUUGGACAAUGGGUGGAAGCCUGAUCCAGCCAUCCCGCGUGAAGGACGACGGCCCUAUGGGUUGUAAACUUCUUUUGUACAGGGAUAAACCUCCCCUCGUGAGGGGAGCUGAAGGUACUGUACGAAUAAGCACCGGCUAACUCCGUG